rnacentral:misc_RNA from 1 species
UUAAUAGAAACUUUGGGGGAUAGUUCCCCUGUGCUUAUCCUUUUAUCGAAAAAUAGCAAUUGCCAUUGAUAGGAAAAAAAAAUUUACAUUGUUUUGGCCCAUUAAACAUCAAACCUAGCUAAACUCCGAACCCAGAACCAAAUAACCAAGGCCCAGCCAUCAACAGAAACCCUAACCAAUCCGAGUAACCAACCUGAAUUCUUCAACCCGGCAACAGCGGAGCCCCAUCGCUGCUACUCAAGGAUUCACUUAUCCUGUAGAUGGAAGCACGCAGGGAGGAGCCACAGAGGAACUAUGCUAAAUCAAACCGCAUGCAAGCUGAAAUCACUUUGUCCAAAAUAGAACAAAGACCAAGCACAUGAAGACCACACCAGGACACAAAAGGAUAGGGGAGGAGGAAGACGAACCAAUGAACCAAAGACUGCGCAAAUGCUGGCGGAAUUAGGAAAGGCUUGGCAGUGCUCUGGCGUCUCAUUCUCAUUUAAUCAAAGAGCUGUCCGCCAGCAACUCUGAACAAUAAUUAUUUUAAAUUAUGUGAAAAGCAAAUUCAUCUCCUACUAAAUCAUGUGAAUAAUAAUUAUUUUUUUAAAAGCAUCAGAUAAUUUCAAAUUUAAUUAUCAAGGCAGGUGGUUGAUAGAUUAUGGCAUUUUUGUCCCUUAAUGAACGCAUGGGCCAACGAUUGAUUGCCAUUUAUGCAAGAAAUAAAGUAUUUUAUGAAAACAUAGACCAUAAAUGACAAGAAUAUAAAAAGAAAAUCCUUUUCUUGGAAUAGCUAUUGUAGCUUAACAGCCGCUUAGUCCAUGAACUUCAUGUUGAAGAAGAGACUUCAUUGCUUGUUUCUUUACCACUUUUCCAUAUAUUCCUCUUCCCAAUUUCAUUACUCUCUCCAUCUCCACCACAUUAGCAGUUCUUCUUAAUCCUCCCAUCAACAACACUUUCACUACCCUCUCAUCACUUCCUGUUGCUUCUGCAACGCUAUCCACCACUACAUCAAGAGCAGGAAGCCGUCUUCCCCACCUCUUCAUCAACUUCUCUGACCCAUAUGCUUCACAAUAUGAUGGCCAAAAUGAUGCCCUCAAAUACCCUUUCUCUUUUCCUCUUACCAUCCACCUUUUCAUGCCUUCUUCUAGCCUGAAUAUUGCACCACCUACCUCUAAUCCUCUUUCUAGUCCCAUCUCAAUCUCUUUCAUUUCUUGCUUAGAACAGAAUUGUUCUUCAAACUUGCAUCUCUUGCAAUGACAAUGGAAACCCCAUGUAUUUGACAUUUCCCUUCUUUUCUCCAUUGGCAAAAGCACAUCAAAAUAUGCAAAUGUGAUCUCUUCUCCUGCCUUCACAUCCCUUGAAGCAUGAACUAAUACAUAAUCCCCUACAUGCAAGCGCCUAGCAUUGGGAUGACAUGAAUGGUUGAUUAAUGAAGCUAGCACCCACAACCCAACACCAUAAUAAUCCUUAUUCUUCCCCAAGACACUAGCUGAAACUGAAUCCUCAACAAGAGAAUUCACAUCCAAUAUGCUCAUCAUCCUAACCAUAUCAAGCUCUUCAUUUGAUUUGCUACUGAUCUCCUCCGCCUCUUGCCUAAAGAGGCUCAUUUCAGGCACCCCAAGUUUUUCUUCCUCUUCACCAGUCGACAACGUACUCACCAAGUGUUGGAUUCUUCGACACUUUUUGGUGGAUUCUACAACUUCAUCAAUGAAAUUCUUCCACAUCAUCAAUUGUGCGUUUUCAUUCGAAUCUUCGCUUGACAAUAUGCCUCUCUCUGUAGCAAUUGCUUUGUUCACUAACAACAACGUCCCUGCAUCAAUGUUCUUCGCUGCAAACAGGCCUCUCCCACUAAGCUGAGACUGUUUAAUCUCUACAGGGCCAAUAUAUUCAGCGAGCUCCGGAAAACUCCCACGAAACCCAUUUAGCACCCAAUCUGAAAGAUCAAAAGCUCCAGUCCUUGAUUGAAAUUCAAGUUUCUUGCAUUUCUCCACAUACCCAUUUAAGGUUUCAAGAUUCCCAUUAGCCUGUGGAUCAAGAAGAGCUGUUUUAAAGCAAUCCAAAGCCAUAGAGUACCUGUUCAAACAGAGCAAGAUUUUUCCUUUGCAGAGAAGAGCCUUAAAAUGGGUACUGUCAAUUUUCAAUGCUUGAUCACAAUCUUCGAGUGCUUCAGUGAAGUCUUUAAGCCUGGACCGUGCUUCAGCUCUGUUCGAGAGGGCUAAGCAGAGGGAUUUCUGAAGCUUGUUGAUUUGAUCUGUGUUUGGGUAGUGUUGAUUGGUGUUUGAGCUCUGUUCUUGGCAAAGAUCGAUGAACUGAGUAUAGACUUGCACCGACUCUUGCCAUUCUUCACGGAGGAGAAGCUCGUUGGCCUUCAAUCGGAGCUCUUGCAUUAGCUUCUCCGGUGAUGAUAGCUGUUGUUGAUCCUCUUCUCUCAUUUUUUUUUUUUCCGACGUUGGUG